rnacentral:lncRNA from 1 species
CAGGUUUGUUUCGUUUAAAGGAGGAUGCAAUUUUUUGCCCGUGAAUGCAUUUUCUCAAAAUGCUUUGGCUUCAUUCCCCCUUUGGUAGAGAAUAUCAACGGAUUUGCUAAUAGAACCUAGUCCAGAAACGUCCAGGGUGUCAGAUCAAAUCCAAGCAACAAAGCUUCGCCAGAGAAAACUCGCGGGGAGCUCGGCCUCUGUCAGUAAAGUCCCCGAGGAUCGCCCGCGGCGUCCAGUUCCUCGUCCGGAACGACCCUUCCCUGCACCUCUAAGAAGUGCGGGUCCGCGUCUGAUUUUUUGCCCCCGAACCAGACAAUG